GAUUGAACGCUGGCGGCAUGCCUUACACAUGCAAGUCGAACGGCAGCACGGGUGCUUGCACCUGGUGGCGAGUGGCGAACGGGUGAGUAAUACAUCGGAACAUGUCCUGUAGUGGGGGAUAGCCCGGCGAAAGCCGGAUUAAUACCGCAUACGAUCUACGGAUGAAAGCGGGGGACCUUCGGGCCUCGCGCUAUAGGGUUGGCCGAUGGCUGAUUAGCUAGUUGGUGGGGUAAAGGCCUACCAAGGCGACGAUCAGUAGCUGGUCUGAGAGGACGACCAGCCACACUGGGGCUGAGACACGGCCCAGACUCCUACGGGAGGCAGCAGUGGGGAAUUUUGGACAAUGGGCGAAAGCCUGAUCCAGCAAUGCCGCGUGUGUGAAGAAGGCCUUCGGGUUGUAAAGCACUUUUGUCCGGAAAGAAAUCCUUGGCUCUAAUACAGUCGGGGGAUGACGGUACCGGAAGAAUAAGCACCGGCUAACUACGUGCCAGCAGCCGCGGUAAUACGUAGGGUGCGAGCGUUAAUCGGAAUUACUGGGCGUAAAGCGUGCGCAGGCGGUUUGCUAAGACCGAUGUGAAAUCCCCGGGCUCAACCUGGGAACUGCAUUGGUGACUGGCAGGCUAGAGUAUGGCAGAGGGGGGGUAGAAUUCCACGUGUAGCAGUGAAAUGCGUAGAGAUGUGGAGGAAUACCGAUGGCGAAGGCAGCCCCCUGGGCCAAUACUGACGCUCAUGCACGAAAGCGUGGGGAGCAAACAGGAUUAGAUACCCUGGUAGUCCACGCCCUAAACGAUGUCAACUAGUUGUUGGGGAUUCAUUUCCUUAGUAACGUAGCUAACGCGUGAAGUUGACCGCCUGGGGAGUACGGUCGCAAGAUUAAAACUCAAAGGAAUUGACGGGGACCCGCACAAGCGGUGGAUGAUGUGGAUUAAUUCGAUGCAACGCGAAAAACCUUACCUACCCUUGACAUGGUCGGAAUCCUGCUGAGAGGUGGGAGUGCUCGAAAGAGAACCGGCGCACAGGUGCUGCAUGGCUGUCGUCAGCUCGUGUCGUGAGAUGUUGGGUUAAGUCCCGCAACGAGCGCAACCCUUGUCCUUAGUUGCUACGCAAGAGCACUCUAAGGAGACUGCCGGUGACAAACCGGAGGAAGGUGGGGAUGACGUCAAGUCCUCAUGGCCCUUAUGGGUAGGGCUUCACACGUCAUACAAUGGUCGGAACAGAGGGUUGCCAACCCGCGAGGGGGAGCUAAUCCCAGAAAACCGAUCGUAGUCCGGAUUGCACUCUGCAACUCGAGUGCAUGAAGCUGGAAUCGCUAGUAAUCGCGGAUCAGCAUGCCGCGGUGAAUACGUUCCCGGGUCUUGUACACACCGCC
rnacentral:rRNA from 1 species